rnacentral:rRNA from 1 species
UGCUUUCUGUAAAUUUAUAAAGUAAAACCUGCUCAAUGAUAUUUAAAUAGCCGCAGUAUUUUGACUGUGCAAAGGUAGCAUAAUCAUUUGUCUUUUAAAUAAAGACUAGUAUGAAUGGUUAAAUGAGAAUUUAACUGUCUUAAAUAUAAAUAUAAAACUAAUCAUUUUAGUGAAGAGACUAAAACGUCUUAGUAAGACGAGAAGACCCUAAAAGCUAAAAUAACUUUUUUGUUGGGGAAACAAAAGAAUAAAACUUCUUUUAAAAACUUUUUAUGAUAAUAAUUGAAUAAAUACUAUUUAUCAAAGAUCAGUUACUUUAGGGAUAACAGCAUAAUUAAUUUCAAGAGUUCUUAUCGACAAAUUUGAUUAUGACCUCGAUGUUGGUUUAAAGAUAUUUUUUGACGAAGAAGUUAAAAAAAUAAGUCUGUUCGACUUUUAAUCCUUUACA